rnacentral:tRNA from 1 species
GGUGGCUCAGUGGUAGAGCGCUUGCCUUGCAUGCAUGAGGCCCUGGGUUCUCAGCACCA